AUUGAACGCUAGCGGGAUGCCUUACACAUGCAAGUCGAACGGAGUGGCGAACGGGUGAGUAAUGUAUCGGAACGUGCCCAGUAGCGGGGGAUAACUACGCGAAAGCGUAGCUAAUACCGCAUACUAUUGGAGCGGCCGAUAUCGGAUUAGCUAGUUGGGGGGGUAACGGCUCACCAAGGCGACGAUCCGUAGCUGGUUUGAGAGGACGACCAGCCACACUGGGACUGAGACACGGCCCAGACUCCUACGGGAGGCAGCAGUGGGGAAUGUUGGGCAAUGGGGGAAACCCUGAUCCAGCCACCCCGCGUGUGCGAAGAAGGCCUUCGGGUUGUAAAGCACUGUUGGUAGGGAAGCGGUACCUAAAGAAUAAGCACCGGCUAACUACGUGCCAGCAGCCGCGGUAAUAC
rnacentral:rRNA from 1 species